rnacentral:rRNA from 1 species
UUCUUUUAGAUUCGAAGCGGUUAGUGGCGGACUGCGUGAGUAACACGUAAGCAACCUGCCUAUUAGAGGGGAAUAACAGUGAGAAAUCACUGCUAAAACCGCAUAUGCCGUGAACAUCGCAUGAUGAAAACGGGAAAAGAGCAAUCUGCUAAUAGAUGGGCUUGCGUCUGAUUAGCUAGUUGGUGUGGUAAAGGCAUACCAAGGCAACGAUCAGUAGCCGGACUGAGAGGUUGAACGGCCACAUUGGGACUGAGAUACGGCCCAGACUCCUACGGGAGGCAGCAGUCGGGAAUAUUGCGCAAUGGAGGAAACUCUGACGCGGUGACGCCGCGUAUGGGAAGAAGGUUUUCGGAUUGUAAACCAUUUUAGACAAGGAAGAAACAAGACAGUACUUGUAGAAUAAGCUCCGGCUAACUACGUGCCAGCAGCCGCGGUAAUACGUAGGGAGCAAGCGUUAUCCGGAUUUAUUGGGUGUAAAGGGAGCGCAGGCGGGAAGACAAGUUGGAAGUGAAAUCCAUGGGCUCAACCCAUGAACUGCUUUCAAAACUGUUUUUCUUGAGUAGUGCAGAGGUAGGCGGAAUUCCCGGUGUAGCGGUGGAAUGCGUAGAUAUCGGGAGGAACACCAGUGGCGAAGGCGGACUACUGGGCACCAACUGACGCUGAGGCUCGAAAGUGUGGGUAGCAAACAGGAUUAGAUACCCU